GAAAAUCAAGAAUGAAAUUGCUGUCAUUGCAAAAAAGUAAUUCAUAUGUGUUUCAGAUCCAUCGAAAGCAAUCGUGCUUAAAAUUGAGUUACUGAGAAACUUUGGUGUGUGAGUUUUCAUCAAGCUUCAAUAAUCUUCUAACCAGAAUAUGUGAUGUGGCAAAAUGAGAUUCUGUAUAUAUGUAGUUUAUUGUUUCUUUCUUUUUCUUUUUUUUUAAUUAACAGUGUUCAUUGAGAUUGAGGUCUUGAUAGGUCCCUGCAGGCAAAAUGCCGCAAUUAUUUUUGAUGGAUGUUCACGAUUACUGGGAAUAGUCCCAUUUGCAUCACACUUUUCAUUUUCAAAAAAACUAUUAAAAACAUUUAUCAAUUCGAUCAGUGAUGCCACAUUUGCUAUGGUCUGUACCGAAAAAUGCUGUGAGGGUCUUCCUGUGGCUGAUAAAGGAGAGUGAAUUCAGGGGCACGACCAUGACAAACUGGGUGAAAGGUCAGGCAAGCACAGAGCUCACAAUUCUCCAGAUGGAGACGAGCAGCUGGCACCUCAAACAUGACAGCUAACAUCAGAUUGUGGGUGAAGACCUCCUGUGCAUACAGCUUGAUGAACUACUCGGGCUAGCUAGCUUUGAAAGAAGCCAUAAAGCAGCCCGAAAAACCUACCUUCAGGACAACUUUAGAAGAAGGUAGCAAUGUUGUUACUACAGGACCCCAACUGCGGAGGAAGCGUCACAUAUAAGGAAGACGCUGGACGCAACCACUUUACAAGAUCAGGGGGAGCCGCUUUGGAAUGUGCCGCCUCUAGUGAUUGUUUGUUUACGACCGUAACGCUUUGUGUACUGAUGGUAUGUCAGAUAAUCAACUUAAAGUUCACCUGUCAAAACUGUAUUCAAUGAGAAAUGUACAGUGGUUGACAGAUAAAAGCAGAAGGUCACGGUUGCCCCUGCGGAAUGAAACAGUCCAUAUUUUUAGUUGUUGACCCUCGGCGCAAACGAGAGAGAGUUUACGUCAUCCGUCUGAAAAUAUGUGUUGACAUUAAAUAAAUAAAUAAGACAAAA